GAGAAGUGACCAGGCUCAUUGUCUUGGAGGUAGCAAUAGCCAUAAUUCAGAAGGGCUUGGGAAAAAAACCUACUCAUUUCUAAUGAUGAAAUGGCAUUCACUGGAUAUUUUGGUUUUGCAGUAGCAAUGAUGGAAUUGGUGCGGAGAGAGUGGCCAAAGUUGACCCAAAUUUCCCAAAUUGGUGGAGCCCUGGUAUUCCUUGAACAUGCAUACCUUUCCCAGCGUGAGGGACAUGGACCGUGCCGUGCGAGGGACCCCAUCUUCUGCAGCAGGAGGGAGCAGAGAAGAGAACACAAGGAUUCCUGUUGCUAAAAGGUCUGUUUUCUCCUGCUGGCCACCCUCAUCAGCCAGAGUCCAAACCCUGACAGUGCCCACAGAGAGAUCUGGUCCAAGGCACCAACCUCUUCCUGCUGGACUGAGAAAGAGUCUCCGACUGUGUCUCUCUUUACCUCAGCUUUUGCACACCUCCAAUAUAUUGUCCACUGAAGUCAGGAUAAUCUAAAAAUAAAGCCUGAUUACAUCAUGAGGUCUAAACUUA